rnacentral:rRNA from 1 species
UACGAGUGCCCCAAGCGUUAUCCGGAAUCAUUGGGCGUAAAGGGCGCGUAGGCGGCCAUGCGUGUCUUCCGUGAAAUCCCUCGGCUUAACUGAGGACGUGCGGAAGAAACUGCAAGGCUCGAGUCCGGGAGAGGGGGGUGGAAUUCCCAGUGUAGCGGUGAAAUGCGUAGAUAUUGGGAGGAACACCGGUGGCGAAGGCGGCCCCCUGGACCGGUACUGACGCUGAGGCGCGAAAGCGUGGGUAGCAAACGGG